rnacentral:rRNA from 1 species
AUGACACCCCGAUCCGGGCGACGGCAGCAGCGAUGGCGUCAACAAUCGAGUGUGCCUAACUCUGCAUCUAUAAGUGGCCUGUCUUCUUUGGACGGUCAGCUGCUUCCUCCUCACAUUGAAAUCUCGACCCCUUUCUUGUUGAUGGACUCUUUGACUGAUUCGUAUGUGCGUGGAUGCAGGGUGCAGCGAAACAACCUGGAGCUAGAGAACAUCAAGGAUAAGAUCAAGGAAGUUCUUGCCUUGUUGGCAACAUUGUUACGAGAGAUGAUGCUGGAGAGAUGCCCUUCCUAUAGGUCUGCACAUAAGCGGAAGUUCCUGGGUAUGCAAGAUUCGAUGGUUAAACUGGUUGAUGUGAUGUGA